GGUUGUAGCUCAGUGGUAGAGCACUUGCCUAGUAUGUGUGAGGACAAAAGUUAUAUCAGCAACUAAAAAAAAAGAAAUUUAGGAAAAAAAAAAGUUUUAGGGGAUGGGAUUAUGGCUCAGCAGUAGUGCACUCGCCUAGCACGUACGACACACUGGGUUCAAUCCUCAGUACCA
rnacentral:tRNA from 1 species